rnacentral:rRNA from 13 species
GUGAAGAUGCGGUGUAUCCGCGGCUAGACGGAAAGACCCCGUGAACCUUUACUAUAGCUUCACAGUGAACUUUGAGCAUGUUUGUGUAGGAUAGCUGGGAGGCUUUGAAACCAGGACGCCAGUUCUGGUGGAGCCAACCUUGAAAUACCAGCCUGACCUGUUUGAGGUUCUAACUUCGACCCCUUAUCGGGGUUAAGGACACUGUGUGGUGGGUAGUUUGACUGGGGCGGUCUCCUCCCAAAGCGUAACGGAGGAGC